rnacentral:rRNA from 1 species
AACGAACGCUGGCGGCAGGCUUAACACAUGCAAGUCGAGCGCCCCGCAAGGGGAGCGGCAGACGGGUGAGUAACGCGUGGGAACGUACCCUUUGCUACGGAAUAGCUCCGGGAAACUGGAAUUAAUACCGUAUGUGCCCUACGGGGGAAAGAUUUAUCGGCAAAGGAUCGGCCCGCGUGGGAUUAGCUAGUUGGUGGGGUAAUGGCCUACCAAGGCGACGAUCCAUAACUGGUCUGAGAGGAUGAUCAGCCACAUUGGGACGGAGACACGGCCCAAACUCCUCAGGGAGGCAGAAGUGGGGAAUAUUGGACAAUGGGCGCAAGCCUGAUCCAGCCAUGCCGAGUGAGUGAUGAAGGCCUUAGGGUUGUAAAGCUCUUUCACCGGAGAAGAUAAUGACGGUAUCCGGAGAAGAAGCCCCGGCUAACUUCGUGCCAGCAGCCGCCGUAAAAC